AGGGCAGGGGAAGUGGAGUUUGUGAUAAUUGCCAGGGAAAAGGGGGGCGAUAACAAAGGGACACUCUUCCCUGAAUGUUACACUAAGGGCAAGAGGAGCGGUCAUGAAGCAACCAUCACACUCUCAACGCUCCCAGAUAUGCAGACCAGGGAAUAAAGAAGUUUGAACCCACUGGGGCAUGAGAACGGGUUCCCGACCACUCAAUCUGAUUGGCCUCUUGCAGCCAGUCAGCCACAUUGUGUACUGUACCUGGAACUGGGACCCGACUCCGUCCUGGAUUUUCCAUCAGAACCUCCCCAGAUCUCUGACAAUUGACCACCGACUCUGAUCUCCAGCUUGACCUCCAACCUUUGAUACAUCAGUGCCUGGGACUCUCUGUGUGGCGACCAUUGCACCUCGCUGGCAGCCAGCCUG